rnacentral:rRNA from 1 species
CCUACGGGUGGCAGCAGAGAGGAAUAUUGGUCAAUGGACGCAAGUCUGAACCAGCCAUGCCGCGUGCAGGAAGACGGCUCGAUGAGUUGUACACUGCGUUUGUACGAGGGUAAACGCAUAUACGCGUAUCUGUCUGAAAGUAUCGUACGAAUAAGGAUCGGCUAACUACGUGCCAGCAGCCGCGGUACUACGGAGGCUUCAAGCGUUAUCCGGAUUUAUUGGGGUUAAAGGGUUCGUAGGCGGUCGGAUAAGUUAGAGGUGAAAUCCCGAGGCUCAACUUAGGAAUUGCCUCUGAUACUGUUCGGCGAGAGAGUAGUUGCGGUAGGCGGAAUGUAUGGUGUAGCGGUGAAAUGCUUAGAGAUCAUACAGAACACCGAUUGCGAAGGCAGCUUACCAAGCUACUUCUGACGUUGAGGCACGAAAGCGUGGGGAGCAAACAGGAUUAGAUACCCUUGUAGUC